UACGGAGGAUGCAAGCGUUAUCCGGAUUCAUUGGGUUUAAAGGGUGCGUAGGCGGGCUAUUAAGUCAGUGGUGAAAGCCUGCAGCUUAACUGCAGAACUGCCAUUGAUACUGAUAGUCUUGAGUUUGGUUAAGGUAGGCGGAAUGUGUAAUGUAGCGGUGAAAUGCUUAGAUAUUACACAGAACACCAAUUGCGUAGGCAGCUUACUGAGCCGACACUGACGCUGAGGCACGAAAGCGUGGGGAUCGAACA
rnacentral:rRNA from 1 species